rnacentral:rRNA from 1 species
AUUGAACGCUGGCGGCAUGCCUUACACAUGCAAGUCGAACGGCAGCACGGGAGCAAUCCUGGUGGCGAGUGGCGAACGGGUGAGUAAAGUAUCGGAACGUGCCCAGUCGUGGGGAUAACGUAGCGAAAGUUACGCUAAUACCGCAUACGAUCUAUGGAUGAAAGCGGGGGAUCGCAAGACCUCGCGCGAUUGGAGCGGCCGAUAUCAGAUUAGGUAGUUGGUGGGGUAAAGGCUCACCAAGCCGACGAUCUGUAGCUGGUCUGAGAGGACGACCAGCCACACUGGGACUGAGACACGGCCCAGACUCCUACGGGAGGCAGCAGUGGGGAAUUUUGGACAAUGGGCGAAAGCCUGGUACAGCCAUGCCGCGUGCAGGAUGAAGGCCGUCGGGUUGUAAACUGCUUUUGUACGGAACGAAAAGGUUUGGCCUAAUAAGCUGAGCUCAUGACGGUACCGUAAGAAUAAGCACCGGCUAACUACGUGCCAGCCGCCGCCGCGG